GCCGGGUGCGGUGGCGCGUGCCUGUAGUCCCAGCUACUUGGGAGGAUGAGGUGGGAGGAUCGCUUGAGCCCAGGAGUUCUGGGCUGUAGUGCGCUAUGCCAAUCGGGUGUCCGCACUAAGUUCGGCAUCAAUAUGGUGACCUCCUGGGAGCGGGGGACCACCAGGUUACCUAAGAAGGGGUGAACCGGCCCAGGUCGGAAAUGGAGCAGGUCAAAACUCCCCUGCUGAUCAGUAGUGGGAUCGCGCCUGUGAAUACCCACUGCAUUCCAGCCUGAGCAACAUAGCGAGACUCUGUCUCU
rnacentral:SRP_RNA from 1 species